rnacentral:rRNA from 1 species
ACGCUCGACACCUACGAGGCAGCAGUGGGGAAUAUUGCACAAUGGGGGAAACCCUGAUGCAGCGACGCCGCGUGAGCGAAGAAGUAUUUCGGUAUGUAAAGCUCUAUCAGCAGGGAAGAAGAAAGACGGUACCUGACUAAGAAGCCCCGGCUAACUACGUGCGAGCAGCCGCGGUAAUCUGAGCGGGCUGGCAAGGC